GGAGAGGUGGCAGAGUGGUCGAAUGCACUGGUUUCGAAAACCAGCAGGGGCGAAAGUUCCUCGUGGGUUCGAAUCCCACCCUCUCCG
rnacentral:tRNA from 1 species